rnacentral:lncRNA from 1 species
UUAACUAUGAAACAUUCUUCUGUCUACAUUCAAAUAACAAACUGUUUAAAAUACAAUGUAUGGUGUAUAAUUGUGAAAUAUGUGAUGAAUCUUAAAUGAACGUACUUCUUAAUAUUUGUCAAAUUGCUUACAAUAAUAAAUUGCAACAAAGCUAUUAAUAUUAUGGACCAAUUCAGAAAUUAUGGGAAUGUUACUGUUUGGAAAGUUCUGUUUGGUCAAGGCCUCAAUUAAUUGACAUCUAAGACAUAUAAGGCUGUUCGGCAGCAGUCCUUUUGCACCAAUUACUGUUUUUCAGGGGUAUCAUUUGCGCCAAAUUUUGUUUUCCAAAUGAAUCAAUUGCUCCAAUUUUCGGAACUCAUUUGCACCAAUGUACCUGUACACAUAUCAUUCUAUUUAUUCUCAUUUUUACUUAAAAAGUAUCAUAUGUUCGAAGAUAUUGCACCAUGAAGAUGAGCAUCUGCAGAGAAAUUACUUGAAAUGCAUUAGACAGUCCAUGUACAUAGAGAGAAGAAAACUUAUUGCUCUGCUGAAUAUUUAAUUCAAGUUAUGCCAAAACAGAAGAAAAUAGAACCUUUGGCUGAUUUUUUAACCACAUAUGUUGAUGACACAGUGCUUUGUUCCCACUAUCCGUAUGGCCUGAAACUCUAUCUACUGCAAGACGUACCAGUAAUGGAGCAGAAGCAUUCCACAGUAAUUAUUAUGAACUGUGUGUUUUAUGCAUUUCAUCUUUCAAUGUUUGUUUUUUUGGACAAUAAAGGGAAGUUACAAACUACUA